rnacentral:sRNA from 12 species
CAUGAUGAAAUAUAUAUAUUCUUAUAUAUUUUGGAUUGUAUAGUGGGUAGUCGCAGUCACCUCACACCUGUUUGAUAUGAUUUUAAAUAAUCCGAUGUCAUAUAAAAGGAAAACAAAUUCUUUAGAAUUUGGAAAAGUUUAAAAAUUUUAAGUUUUUAACUAACUGU